rnacentral:lncRNA from 11 species
AAAGAUCACAGCCAGCCACUUGGAACAGGAUUUUUGAACAUCGCUGGAAUCACACACCAUUUCCAUCAUUUGAGCACAUCAGCAGCUAUGUGAGAGUGAGGAAAAUCCUCACCCAUAUUUCCAACCAGAGUUGGAAGUUGCCUCAUCAUGCAGGAGAGAGAAGGGCCGAGAACUAUGGGAGAAGUUUUCAGCAGGUGGAGAUCCCAAGGAUUGUUAAAUAAAAGACCUCUGG